rnacentral:rRNA from 1 species
GCAACGAGCGCAACCCCUGUCCUUUGUUGCCAGCACGUAAUGGUGGGAACUCAAGGGAGACUGCCGGUGAUAAACCGGAGGAAGGUGGGGGUGACGUCAAGUCAUCAUGGCCCUUACGGCCAGGGCUACACACGUGCUACAAUGGCGCGUACAGAGGGCUGCAAGCUAGCGAUAGUGAGCGAAUCCCAAAAAGCGCGUCGUAGUCCGGAUUGGAGUCUGCAACUCGACUCCAUGAAGUCGGAAUCGCUAGUAAUCGCAAAUCAGAAUGUUGCGGUGAAUACGUUCCCGGGCCUUGUACACACCGCCCGUCACACCAUGGGAGUGGGUUGCACCAGAAGUAGAUAGCUUAACCUUCGGGAGGGCGUUUACCACGGUGUGAUUCAUGACUGGGGUGAAGUCGUAACA